rnacentral:rRNA from 1 species
UACGGAGGGUGCAAGCGUUAAUCGGAAUUACUGGGCGUAAAGGGUGCGUAGGUGGUUUAUUAAGUUAUCUGUGAAAGACCUGGGCUCAACCUGGGAGGGUCAGAUGAUACUGAUGGACUUGAGUACGGGAGAGGGUAGUGGAAUUUCCGGUGUAGCGGUGAAAUGCGUAGAUAUCGGAAGGAACACCGGUGGCGAAGGCGUCUACCUGGCCUGAUACUGACACUGAGGCACGAAAGCGUGGGGAGCAAACAGG